rnacentral:lncRNA from 1 species
GAUCAUCUCUGAUCUUAAUUUGUUAAAAGAAUAUGCAUUCUUUGUUUCAAAGCAACUUCUAAAACAGUUGCUUAAGAAGUUGACCUUACUUAAAUUUAUGAAUUAGAGGACAAUUGAGUGAAUUACUAUCAAACCUUUUUAUAGUUUUCAUUACCCUAAUAAUUAAUACAGAUUCCUGUAAUAGUCUUAGAAAGAGGAAAAGUGUGUUUUAUUUAAGAGUCUUAACACAUUUGUUUUUAAGUGAACCACCCCAUCUUCUGUGUGUCUCUUUGGGUCCGUUUUAAAAAUUACAAUCAUACUGCCUGAAAACUGACCCAUAAAAAAGCAUGUGUUUAGCAGGGCACACUCGGGAGACUGAAGCAGGAAGAUCGCAAUUUCAAAGACAGCUUCAGCAAUUUAGUGAGGCCCUAAACACUUGGUGAGAUCCUGUUUCAAAAAAUAAAAAGGGCUGAGGAUGUAACUCAGUGGUUAAGCACCCCUGGGUUCAAUCCCCAGUACCAAAAAAGAAACAAAAACAUAAGUUCAAAGUAACCCAUAGAAGUAAGCCUAUUCAAGUUAAUUCAGGGUCUUUUAGUGGUUGUCCAGGCAGUAAAAGAGAUCUUUGUAAGAUUAAAGUGGAUGGUUCUACUGAAAUGCCACUCUUUGAAGGACCCCACUGACUUUUUUGUUUUCAUUCUCUGUUCUCUAUAGCAUUUAGUAAUAAUUUAUUUAGCAAAUAUCUGUGUGUCAAAUAUGUAUCAGAACACUG